AUGAGACCUUCAUUCUUAACACACCAACAUUUGAAGUCAUCUUCUUCUUCCUCAUCUCUUCAACUCACGGCCAUAAACACACACAUACAACCACCAUUUUUCAUUCAUCUUCCAUCCAUUCCACAUAUGUACAAAGGUGUAAGGAGCUAAGUUAGGAAGCUUGGAGCUUUCGGAAAUUGAAGGACCUUCACCGAUUGCUUUUAUCCACUUGUUUUCUCCUCUUGAUCAUCCCUAGCCUUGAGCUAGUAGUAGUCGUGUUUGCCGAAGGGAUUUGAGUUACAAUUGUGAAGACGCAAUACUGGAAAUUGUAAAGUGGAUCUGGCGGACGUUGGAAGUUUUUAUGCUGCGUUAGAAAUAAAGAUGUCAUCCAUGGUCUUGAGUUUGGACAGUGUGUCUUAUUCCUGGACGAGACAUGUCUUCCAAACCUUGGUGUUAUUCAAUAUCUUUUGACGAAUCCUU
rnacentral:lncRNA from 1 species